rnacentral:lncRNA from 1 species
GGCAAAAAUACAAAAAACUAAAAUAUUAUUAACUUAAUAAAAUCAUCCACUACAUAAUCAUUCAUUAUCUUUACAAUUAACCAUCUAAAGCUACCAUAGUUCUUCAAUCAAAGUAUAUAUCUACAUAUAUAGAGAGAGAGUACACUUCAUAAUUUCAUCCCUUGUCUUCUGUAAACGUAACACGAAAAUUUGAUACCCAGUAUUGUAAGGCAGGUCGUAGAAGCAGUCUUCCUGCACAUAUUUAAAAAUAAUAGCAAAUCAAGAAAAUAAAGCAAAUAGGUCACCAGAGGCGCUACUUCCACCACAUUUACUAGAAAUAAAGAUGAACAAAAUAAGCUCCAAUAGAAACUGAAACAUCAAAUCCAUAUUUUUAAACCUAAGAUAUUGUUAUAAUUUAAGUGAUAUCAGAUAGGUUGCAAAAAAGAAUACCUUUAUUAAUUGCCUGGACUAGAAAUAAAGAUGAGCAGAAUAAGCUUCAAUAGAAAGCUAAACAUCAAAUCCAUAUUUUCAAACCCAAUAUAUUGUUAUAAUUUAAGUGAUAUCAUAUUGGUUGCAAAAAAGCAAACCUUUUAGUAUGCGAAAAAGCAUCCCAAAUACUAGGACCCCAACCACCUUCAAUGGAGGCUCCUUCAACCUGCAAGAAGACAACAAAGAAAAUAUUACAUUUCAUAGUCAAAAUAAUCUAUCGCAUGGAUUCCUAAAAGAUAAAAUGAAGAUACUUUCAUUUAAAACCAUUUCUUUCUAAAUAAAUCAAGCAACGCUAACUGUUCCAUUCAAUUAUCUAAUUUUGGUUUUUACAUAAAAUAAAAUACUCAAUAAAGCUUCUUUUCUGACCGCGGGUAUUGCAACCUUUAUAAUUUAUCUAGAGGACUAAUGUAAGAGUUAGUUUGACCAUUUAUAAGUCUAUCCCCUUUGUUGAAUUGUAGUUUCUACUACAAUUGAUAAAAUGUUAAUUACUUACUACUUUGUAUUCCAUCUUUUCCCUACAAUUCUGACCAUCCUAACCUUUAGUACUAAAUUAUGAGUCAAUAGCUUUUCUUCAUUCUCUAGUAUCUAUUCUUUGCCAAUUCCUUAAAACUUAUACUAAAUCUAGCAACUAAAUAAAAGAACUGAAAAGAUAAUAAAGAUGUACAGAUAUUUACUUGCUAGCAACAUAAAUUACAUUGUUAGGUAAUAUCACUGAGAUUUUGUACUUUUUGGCAUCCAAAAAGCCUCAACUUUAGUUCCUCUGAGUUAAACUUGUUCCAUGCUUC